rnacentral:rRNA from 1 species
GAGUUUGAUCGUGGCUACAGAGCGAACGCUGGCGGCAUGCUUAACACAUGCAAGUCGCACGGUCAGCAAUGGCAGUGGCGGACGGGUGAGUAACACGUAGGAAUCUAUCUCUGGGUGGGGGACAACAGUGGGAAACUACUGCUAAUACCGCAUGAUACCUGAGGGUCAAAGGCGUAAGUCGCCUGGAGAGGAGCCUGCGUCUGAUUAGCUUGUUGGUGGGGUAAAGGCCUACCAAGGCUACGAUCAGUAGCUGGUCUGAGAGGAUGAUCAGCCACAUUGGGACUGAGACACGGCCCAAACUCCUACGGGAGGCAGCAGUGGGGAAUAUUGGACAAUGGGCGAAAGCCUGAUCCAGCAAUGCCGCGUGUGUGAAGAAGGUCUUCGGAUUGUAAAGCACUUUUGGCAGGGACAAUGAUGACGGUACCUGCAGAAUAAGCCCCGGCUAAACUUCGUGCCAGCAGCCGCCGCGGUAAC